AAAUUAAUCCUCUGACUCAGAGCUGAUGAGAAAAUGUUUUCCCUGAUGAGGCCAUGAGGCACCUUGUUGACCAGACUGGGUGAGGACAGGGCUUGGAGCUGAGAGGCGUUCUCUCGGGGUCCUCGACCGCAGUCUCGGGGGUCAGCCUGGCUGAGAUCAGCUGGGGCUGGGGAGCAGGCGAGGAAGAUGCAGAUGAUAACUGCCACAACAAACACAUUCUGGACUUUAGAACUUCCACAUGCCUCCCGUUGUCCACCUCGUGUGAGCCUCACACCUGCCCUGCUCUGAAGGUGUGGGCAAUUCUAGUUCACAGGUGAGACAGUCGAGAGGGGAAAGGACUUACCAGGAAUGGAAGAACAGCCCGUGUUCUGCCUCCUCCUUCUCGAAACUUCUGUCAGGUGAAGUAGAAAUAGUCAUCCUCUCUCCCUCACCAUCCAGAGAGCAGGGAUCCCUCUGAAGAGACCAUUGGUGUCUGCCCCAGAAAGUCAAGCCGAAAAUUAAGGCAUGCAUCCACUAGGGGGCAGCAGAGACUGGCGUGCCUCCUGCCUCCACGUGGUGCAGCGCUCUGACUGCCACCCAUCCUUGGGGGAGAAUUCUUCAGCUCUUAUUUAAAUUAACAGAUCACCCAAUCUGGGCUUGCCAAGUAUUUGCAAAAAUCUGCAUAUACCUUUGUCUCUGGAUUUCUCUUUGAAACCUAAAGGAUUAUCUGAUCCGAGUGUAUUGUUCUACGUAAUUCAUUUACUUCAUCAUCAUAGCAACCCUGUGCAGUAGACACUCUAGAAUCAUCCCCGUUUUACACACAAGGAAACGGAGGCACAGAAAUUAAGUAUUUUUAUCGUGGUCACAGGGCUAGGAAGUGACAAAGCCAGGAUUUGAACCCAGAUUGUUGAGCUCUGCCUGGGAAGAGGCCUGCACCUGCCCAUCAGGCUUCACUGCACACCCACUGGCCAGGUCCCUACUGAACACAGACAGAUUCCAGGAACUGCGCAGGUAAUGAGGGUGAAGAUGAAAAGGCAGCAAAGCCCCUGCCCUCCUGGGGUUUACAGAUGGCAUUAAAAGAUGCUCAAUGUCGCUUUCCAUUUAUUGAGCACCCACUGUGUGCAGGCUCUUUACAUAUUUUAUUUCAUUUACUCCAUAACCCUUUGAGGUUGCCAUUCAUUAGCCAUUAGCGUGAGGCCCCAUUAGAGCACAACUCUGGAAUUGGACUACCCAGCCCUGCAUUUUACAAGAUGUAUCAUCUUGGGCAUGUCAUCGAAACACCUCACCUAGGCCUAUGAAAUUUCUAAUAAAAGCACUAAUGAGGAGUUCCCAUCAUGGCGCAGCAGAAACGAAUCCGACCAGGAACAUGAGGACUCGGGUUCAAUCCCCGGUCCUGCUCAGUGGGUUAAGGAUCUGGUGUUGCUGUGAGCUGUGGUGUAAGUCACAGAUGCAGCUCGGAGCUGGCCUUGCUGUGGCUGUGAUGUAGGCCGUCAGCUGUGGCUCCAAUUUGACCCCUAGCCUGGGAAUCUCCAUAUGCUGAAGGUGCACUCCUAAAAAGACAAAAGACACCCCCCCCCCCAAAAAAAGACACUAUGGAAAUUCCUCCUCAUAGAAGUGUUGUCAGGAUUAAAUAAGCGAAUCCAUGUGAAACCCUUAGCAUAGCCUUCUAUACCUGUUAACUUAUCAACUACUAUCAUACUGAGUUUGUUUUGGGUUUUUUUGUCUGGAUUUUUUUUUUGGCGGGGGGGUUUGGAGGAGCUGGGCUUUUGGCAUGUGGAAAUUCCUGGGCCAGAGUGAACAUGGGUCACAGCAAUGACCUGAGCUGCUGCAGUGACAACGCCAGAUCCUUAAUCGACUGUGCCACAAAGGAAUUCCUGCUGUUUUUUUCAGAUGAGUAAACAGAGGUUAGAAGAGUUAAGCCCAAGCCUCAAGAUCACUGCUAGGAGGAGGCAGAAUGACCUAGAGGCAGUGCUCUGUUCACUGGAGCACAACAGCCUAAGGUAGGGGAUGAGAUGGAAGUGUGCAGGGGCUGAGAGAUUGUUCCGGAAGAAUGGCCGUCAGCCCAGUGGAGUAGCAGAGUGGGUCUGCUCUGCUCAGGCAGGAACGCCCACUGCUCCCACCUCCUCGGCACUGCACUCGCAGAUACUCACAUGGCUGAGAGCCUUCACACUUAGGUAAAGAGGCUUCAUUCACCCUGAACAUGACCAGGGCCAGAGGAUGGGCUGCAGGAAACUGCCAGCUGGCCGUGUUGUUUGCCAGGAUGAGGAAAUCUCCAGGGGGCAGAUUUUAGGAGGUUUCGUUCAAGUGUCAUAAACCAGAAACUCUGGGGCCCUCUCCAUCCAGCAUCUGAGGAAAUCUCAGCUGACAGCCGAGGCCAUGGGCUAAAGUCUCCAUAGGUCUCUUUGAACAGAUUCAAGCCUAUCAAAGAGCCCAUCACUCAAGUUCUGUCAAACCCUAGAUCUGAGCAGCCCAACUUGCAGGAUUUUUAUUGAUAUUUAUUUAUUUUAUUUAUUUACCUCCCUGCCAUGCAUGCGGAAGUUCCCAGGCCAGCGAUCAAACCCAUGGCAUAGCAGGGACAACACCAGAUCCUUAACUUGCUGGGUCACACAGGAACAACAGGAUUUUUUUGCUCCCUGGCUCUCCAGAGCAACCCCCCCCCCCGCCCCGGGGACAUCUGUUGAAGUUUCCGAGCCCAUGAAUCUGGGGCCUGGAUUUGGGCAACGCUGCAAGCAAGGAGGGCUACCCUCCCGGAAUGUCAGGAAUCCCAGGGACAUCUGGACUGCUUUGCUUUGGCUGGUCCUGCCAGCUGGCAGUCUUGCUUGCGGGGACCUGGGCUUCCGUGAUGGGCCUGGAAAACACUGAGGCCCCUUUGAUCCUCGCCUCCGGCCACAGCUGGCAUUGGAUGACCUUGAGCGCCAAUUUGAUGUCCCUAGGCUUUUACCUCUUCUAUAAACAGGGGUGACAAGUCCUGCCAGGGCUGGAACUCACAUACCAGGGUCUGGAAGAAACAAGACUGUUCCUCCUUUAGAAUCUUUUGAGGGCAUGCCUGCUGUUUUCUGGCAUUGGGCUUCUACUCAUUUUUAUUUUUUUGUAUUUUUAGGGACACACUGCAGCAUAUGGAAGUUUCCAGGCUAGGGGUCCAAUCAGAGCCACAGCUGCCAGCCUACACCGCAGCCACAGCAAUGUAGAAUCCGACCCGAAUCUGCAAUCUACACCACAGCUCAUGGCAACACUGGAUCCUUAACCCAAUGAGUGGGGCCAGGGAUCGAACCCACAUUCUCAUGGAUACUAGUCGGGCUUGUUACCGCUGAGCCACAAUGGGAAUUCCUACUUCUAAUUUUAAAUCAAGAUAUGCCCCAGAUUGGAUCACCUCUGCUCCGCAGUUGGACUAGAUAGUGUAAACCAAGCAUUAACCAAGGGACUGGGCCCCUGAAGGGGACUCUGCUAGUGCAAGUCCUUGGGCUUUUGAAGGCAGCAUCAGGAGGGAAGGAGGGAGGGGGAGGGAGAGGAGGAGAUGCAAAAGCUGGAGGGCAUGGCCUGGAGGCUGUGGGAGCUUAGGCUCGAUGGAGGUGGCUGGGCUGGAGGUGUGUGUGUGUGUGUGUGUGUGUGUGUGUGUGUGUGUGUCUGUGUACACACAUCUAAUGGUUGCAGAAUGCCUGGUCAGUUGAGCUCCAAGUUCUUUUAGCCUGUAAUAAAUAUUCUGUGACUUGCAGAACCCACAAUGAUUUUGCAACUGACUUAGCAAAUGAGCAGUUUGUUAUUAUAAACUCUUUGUCAAUAUUAUUUCAGUGAGGUGUAAUAGUUCAUCCGAUGAGACCAUAGUUUAUUUAGUCAUUCCCAUGGAGUCAAAUAUUUAGGUACUUUGAACGUAUCAAAUGAAUAUAAAUAAUGGCGAAACGAACAUCUUUAUAUCAAGCUUUGUUUCCUUAGGCUAAAUUUUCAGAUAAGUAAUUAUUAAGUCACAGAAAAGGACUAUUUUUAAGGCUCUUGAUUUGUAACACUAAAUAUUUUCUAAAUAGUUAUUUCCAAUUUUCAGAAAGUUUUUAUCAUGGAAAUACUUUUUUUGUUUGUUUUGUUUUUAUGGCCACACUUGCAGCAUCGGGAAUUUCCUGGGCUAGGGGUCAAAAUCGGAGCUGCAUGGCCUAUACCACAGCCACAGCAAUGCCAGAUCCGAGCCACAUCUGCAACCUAUGCCCAGGUUUGCGGCAACACUGGAUCCUUAACCCACUGAGUGAAGCCAGGGAUCAGACCCACAUUCUCAUAGGGACAAUGUCAGGUCCCUAAUCUGCUGAGCCACAACAGGAACUCCUGUUUUGGUUUUUGUUGUUAUCAUUAUUUGUUUGGUUUUUGCUCUUAUUUAUUUAUUUAUUUUUGUCUUUUUGCCUUUUCUUGAGCUGCUCCCGUGGCAUAUGGAGGUUCCCAGGCUAGGGGUCUAAUCAGAGCUGUAGCCUCCGGCCUCCACCACAGCCAGGGCAACGCAGGAUCUGUGCCUCGUCAGCUACCCACACCAUAGUUCACGGCAAUGCUGGAUCUUCAACCCACUGAGCAAGGCCAGGGAUCGAACCCGCAACCUCAUGGUUCCUAGUCAGAUUCGUUAACCACUGCGCCACAAUGGGAACUACUUUUUGCUUUUUUUUUAAGUCAUGAAAAAUUUUUUUUACUUUUUAAUUUACUUUUAUUUAUUUAUUACUUUUUUAGGGCCACACCUGCAGCAUAUGGAGUUUCCCAGGCUAGGCAUCGAAUUGGAGCUGUAGCUGCUGGCCUACACCACAGCCACAGCAACCCAGAUCUGAGCCGCAUCUGCAGCCUACACCACAGCUCGUGGCAAUGCCUGAUCCUUAACUCAUUGAUCAAUGCCAGGAGUCAAACCUUUGUGUUCAUGGCUGCUAGUCAGAUUCAUUUCCACUGAGCCACGAUGGGAACUCCUAAAUCAUGGAAAUAUUUUAAAUGUCCACAUACACAUAACUAGAGUGAAUGAUAUAAUGGUAAAAAGUGGAAUACCCCACUUUUUUUUUUUUAAUAAAUUUUAAUUGGAGUAUAGUUGACUUACAAAGUUAUGUUAGUUUCAGGUGUACAGCAAAGUAAAUCAGUUAUACAAAUAUAUAUGUCCUUUUUCAGAUUCUUUUUUCAUAUAGGUUAUUACUCAUCAUUGAGUAGGUUACCCUGUGCUAUACGGUAGGUCCUUGUAACUCAUCCAUUUUAUAUAUAAUAGUGUGCAUAUGUCAUUGCUGUGGCUCUGACGUAGGCCGGUGUCUACAGCUCCAAUUAGACCCCUAGUCUGGGAACCUCCAUAUGCUGCGGGAAGGGGCCUUAGAAAGGGCAAAAAGACAAAAAGGAAAAAAAAAAUAGUGUGCAUAUGUCAAUCCCAAACCCCUAAUUUAUACCCCCCCCCACGUUUCCCCUUUGGUCACCAUAAAUUUGGUUUCAAAAUCUU
rnacentral:lncRNA from 1 species